rnacentral:lncRNA from 1 species
CAAGGACCGGCCAGCUACUACAGCGAGGUGACCAAGGACCGGCCAGCUACUACAGCGAGGUGACCAGGACGGCCAGCUACUA